rnacentral:rRNA from 1 species
CCUACGGGAGGCAGCAGUGAGGAAUAUUGGUCAAUGGGCGUAAGCCUGAACCAGCCAAGUCGCGUGAGGGAUGAAGGUUCUAUGGAUCGUAAACCUCUUUUAUAAGGGAAUAAAGUGUGGAACGUGUCCUGUUUUGUAUGUACCUUAUGAAUAAGGAUCGGCUAACUCCGUGCCAGCAGCCGCGGUAAUACGGAGGAUCCGAGCGUUAUCCGGAUUUAUUGGGUUUAAAGGGUGCGUAGGCGGCUUUUUAAGUCAGCGGUGAAAGUCUGUGGCUCAACCAUAGAAUUGCCGUUGAAACUGGGAGGCUUGAGUAUGUUUGAGGCAGGCGGAAUGCGUGGUGUAGCGGUGAAAUGCUUAGAUAUCACGCAGAACCCCGAUUGCGAAGGCAGCCUGCCAAGCCAUGACUGACGCUGAUGCACGAAAGCGUGGGGAUCAAACAGGAUUAGAUACCCCGGUAGUC